rnacentral:rRNA from 1 species
AAUGAACGCUGGCGGCGUGCUUAACACAUGCAAGUCGAGCGCGCCCUUCGGGGGUGAGCGGCGGACGGGUUAGUAACGCGUGGGAAUAUGCCCAGAUCUGCGGAAUAGCCUCUGGAAACGGAGAGUAAUACCGCAUACGCCCUUCGGGGGAAAGAUUUAUCGGAUUUGGAUUAGCCCGCGUUGGAUUAGGUAGUUGGUGGGUAAUGGCCUACCAAGCCGACGAUCCAUAGCUGGUUUGAGAGGAUGAUCAGCAACACUGGGACUGAGACACGGCCCAGACUCCUACGGGAGGCAGCAGUGGGGAAUCUUAGACAAUGGGGGAAACCCUGAUCUAGCCAUGCCGCGUGAGUGACGAAGGCCCUAGGGUCGUAAAGCUCUUUCAGCUGUGAAGAUAAUGACGGUAGCAGCAGAAGAAACCCCGGCUAACUCCGUG